rnacentral:sRNA from 1 species
GAACUCGAUUCCGAUUACCGCAGGUCUCUCGGACUAGUUGAGAGGAUCAUUGUCGUUCCAGGUGCAUGUGGUUCGUCCGAUAGAUCGUAGCGUGGCGAAAGCACCGGAGCAGUCUCAGGAAUUACAAUGCGCCUGUAAAACCGGCUAGGCUUCCGACAUAGACGCGGUGGUCUGUCCCCCGAGUGCCAUUCUUCUGGAUCUGAUGCAGCGCAAUGUUCUUUUGCGUCUGCCGACGGGCGAGCUCGGUCAACGUAAUACAACUGCUUCGAAUUGAGGCUACCAUAUCUUCUGCUAGAGCGGAACAUGUUCCCUCGGGAAUGUGAACAACAACCGGCCUGGCCUCUGGAUCUGGAGAUCCAUGAGAGUUAAUGGGCCGACAACAUCCCGCGAGGUUAUAAUAGUGUCCUCCCCCACGCCUGUUUGCGGUUUCUUGGGGUAAGUAGUCCUCAUCUUCCAGUUUACGCGUUCGGGGCGAUGUUUUUCUCCCCUUAGACUGCGGUCCGGAUCGCCCACCACGAUUACUACCUCUGCCCCGACGCGGGCGGCUCGAACAAUCAGCCCGCGGUCUGGGGGGCGACGGAGAUGGUGACCUAGAUGAUGAAGGUGAAGACGGGACGAUUAGAGAAGAUGAUGACGGUGAGGAUGAUGAAGAGGAGGAAGAUGAAGAGGAUGGCGAUCUGGAAACAUGUCCGACGUUCCGGGCCGCGUGGUCUGGGGGAACUUCGUGGAGAUGAGGUUGUGUGAGGCAGUUCGCUCAUUCUGCCAGAAGAUGGAGUAGUCAGCCGUGGACCUGAGGUGAGUGGUGCAGCUCAACUCUAGCUUCGCGAAUGGCCGCGGAGAGCGCAGGAGGCAGCGUGGUAGAUGGUUGUGGCAUCUCAAAAGUAACUUCGCAGCCAGGCAUUUAAAGUCUUUCCAUGCCAAACCGGUCCAGGGAUUGGUGCUUCCAUCUCGGCCGUCCACCCAGGUAAUCUCGGCCAUGCUCCAAUACCAGGCCCGCUCCACAGCAUUGUUAUACGUAUCUGAUUGCUGCCCGAGAUGGAUGUCGCGGCUAAUGUUCUCGAUCCCCCCCCCCCCCCCCACAAUUGCAAAGUGCGGUAUCAGGGCAAUGGGAACAGCAAUCACUUUCGAAUUCCUUCAGCCCAAAGCACAACCGCGGGUCCACCGGGACUCUCCGACAUAGCUCGAGCCAAAAGGGAAUUGUAGCCCAGGAAGGGCGGUGCAUAUCUGCAAGUAAACAAAACUCGGGGUUCUGUACGAUUGGCCGGGGUCUUACAUGCUCGCCGAAUUGGAUUUGAGAAUCAAUCUUCCGACGGGUCUCCUGACUUGAACAGGGGAAAGGGGGAGGGGGAGUGUGUUAUCUUGUCGCGAACCAAUAA